AAAGGGGUGCCGCAAGGCUGAGAUCACACCCAAUGAACCUGAUUCGGAUAAUGCCGACGUAGGGAGAUUUA
rnacentral:ncRNA from 1 species